GUCAAUGUCGCGAUUUUCCAGAGUGCAAAGCCACAUCAUCUGUGUGUAUGUCAAGAAACGUCCUCCCCAGCUUACAAAUGCCCGACUUGUGUACAGUCUAUUGGAUCAAAUGGCCUCCUUCUGUGUCACAGCAAGCAAAUAAGGGAGAGAUUUUCAAAAUCAAGAUCUUGCCAGCCUGGGCUCACCAUCAACUUCUGAAUCCAGAAGAAUGCCAUAUCGUGAAAGCAACUCCGGAUCUUCUCCUACUUUCAUGAUCUCCUGCUGUUUCUCAAUCUGUAAAAAGAACAUGACGUAUGCAAUGGAAAUCAG